rnacentral:tRNA from 1 species
GCCUCGGUAGCUCAGUAGGUAGAGCAGCGGACUGAAAAUCCGCGUGUCACCAGUUCAACUCUGGUCUGAGGCACCA